AUGAGUAUGUGCAAGUGUACAGACAAAAAUUGGAUAUAAAAGUGAAAGAGAGAUUCAAUAGCAUUCACAAGCAGAGCAAUGACAAUAACAGACAUUUACAAGAAAUGAAGGAGACAAUGAAAUCUGGUCAAUUUGUUCAGGAAGCAUUAGAUAUUUAUGAAACGGAAAUGAAUAAGCUUUUGAUCAAUGGUGCAAGCUGCGAUAACCUACAAGCAGAAGACUCA